UCGGGUCCGCUCCCCGGGCGCCGCACGGCGGUCUCCCGGCUUGGCGGCCCCAGGCGCGUGCGCUGGGGGGCCCCGCGGAUGGCGGCGGGGACAUCCCUGUCGGCGCGAAUCUCGGGUUCCAGAGCGCUGAGGUGCGCGCGGUGGGCCCGGCCCUCACGGGAGCGCGCGCCGUCCCGGCCGGCGGAGCCCCCUCACCCCCCCCCGCGGCAGUGACGUCAGCAGCCGGCGCGCCCCGUCCCCCGCUACGUCACCGGCCGUCCCCGGCGGGCUCGCGGGCCGAGGAGCCGCGGGGCCGCUCGGCCUGGCGAGGCCUCGGGUUUGACGGGAUGGUCCGUCCCCCCCAUUCCGGCCUUGCAGGACGUCAGCCCGAAGGAGCCCUCCACCGAGCCAUCCGGCCCCGGGCGAGUGCUGCAGUCGGGGGGAGAAGCAGGAAGGCCCCCCGGAGACACCUGACCCUCACUCCACGGAAUCGCCUUCCUCCCUCUCGCCUGGUGCCAGGACGGACUCGGGGCCCGGGUGCUGCCCCUUAGCUCUUUCUCGUCGAGGCCUGGGCUCUACCAUCUGGGUAAUCUCUACCAUCUGGUGAACUGGAGAUAAGAAUCCUACAGACUCUCCCGCCCAGUGUAGGUAGCCUCAGUCCUCAGAUCCCAGCCUCCAGAGUGGAGUUACUGUGACACAAUGUACCGAAGAAACUGGUCCCCUAGCCAAUGAACUUUGCAUAUGCCUGACCUUAAUGAAGAGAUGCUAUAGAGAUUCUGAAGGCUGGGCCACUGCUCCUUGACAUUGAGGUGAAUCCGCAGAUCAACAAACAGUCUAGACAGUGCUGGGAGCCGAGCAUUAUUAUCCUUCAGGCAUUUGGUAAAGAUGCCCUACUACUGACCUCCACUCCCAGCCCAGGCAUAGAUGGUGCAUGAAAUGACAUUGUUUGGGUCAGUUUCCAGAAGCAUCACUUUGAAGGGAAAAGGAGAGUACAACUCUAGGAAGAAGAAUCAGCAGCUGGCCUAGUACCUUACAGAAGCAUUCAGCCUCCUUGCUAUGCUGUCAUGUCAGAUGUGGUUGAGAUAUCCCCUAUCUGUGGAACAACUGUAACUUCGGGAUACUGCAGAAGUGAAGCUGCCUUGGAGGGUUAAUGGAGACCAUGCAUAAAACUUCUCCACUUGAUAAAAGAGGAAACCCUAAUGAUUAAAUGGUGUCCAUAUCACUGCACUCUCACUUUCCAGUUCCAACAGACCUAUAAGCAGAUGAAGAGGAUAUCGAUGUUGCUGAGUUGGGUAACUUAGGGACCCUUCAGGUCUUUUGGCCAUUGGGCAUUAUUUCACUAAAAAGAGGAUCUUAAAUGCAUUGUGCUGAUUUAUUGACUGCAGUAAGCAGAAUGCUUGUUUAGAGCUGGGUGAAUAACAGAGCAAUGGCAUGGUGAAGUCAGCUAGUAGGCGGCAAAUCACUACACUUUGCUUCACACUGCCAGAAUUAUUUCCUAAUGGACAAAGUACUUAUUAUACAGGACUCUAAGUAUUCACACACAGUGAGACCAAAGGAGGAUGUUCUUAGGAGAGGAACACAAAAGUAUACUCACUGCCUCUAUGUCUCUGUUCAUAUUAAAUAAAAUUUAUCAAAAUAAACUCCAGGAAAUCGAAACGAGGAUUUUUUCCUUUCUUUCUUUUUUGUCUUG